UUGGAGGGCAAGUCUGGUGCCAGCAGUCGCGGUAAUUCCAGCUCCAAUAGCGUAUAUUAAAGUUGUUGCAGCUAAAAGCUCGUAGUUGAAUCUCGGGGUUAGUAGGUUGGUCGUGCCACCGGUAUGUACUGGCUUUACUGAUCCCUCCUUCUUGUAGAACCGUAAUGCCAUUAACUUGGUGUUGCGGGGAAACAGGACUGUUACUUUGAAAAAAUUAGAGUGUUUAAAGCAGGCUAACGCUUGAAUACAUUAGCAUGGAAUAAUGAAAUAGGACGAUCGAUCCUAUUUUGUUGGUUUCUAGGAUUGACGUAAUGAUUAAUAGGGAUAGUUGGGGGCAUUAGUAUUCAAUUGUCAGAGGUGAAAUUCUUGGAUUUAUUGAAGACUAACUACUGCGAAAGCAUUUGCCAAGGAUGUUUUCAUUAAUCAAGAACGAAAGUUAGGGGAUCGAAGACGAUCAGAUACCGUCGUAGUCUUAACCAUAAACUAUGCCGACUAGGGAUC
rnacentral:rRNA from 1 species